UCAAACUUGGUCAUUUAGAGGAAGUAAAAGUCGUAACAAGGUUUCCGUAGGUGAACCUGCGGAAGGAUCAUUAUUGAACCUUGAGUUUCUGUAACGAAACUCGUUCCAUUUUUCUCACCGUGCACCGUUUUACCCUAUUCGCACUUUAUGUAACGGAUGUCAUUUCAUUUAUACACAACUAUUAAAACUUUCAGCAAUGGAUCUCUUGGCUCUCGCAUCGAUGAAGAACGCAGC
rnacentral:misc_RNA from 1 species